UGACCCACUGUGGCCGUCCUCCCUCUACCAUAAGCAGGUCAGGAAGGAGAAAACUGGGCCAAGAAGAGUUUUACCAUCGGUUCCCCAACUACUUCUGCCAACCAGCCAACCAACCAGCCAGAUAGACAGCCAGCCCUAGACAGCUAACCAGUCAGCUAUCUCUACACAGAAAGCUAGUCAGUUACCUCUACAUAGCCGUCCAGUAAGUAAGCCAGACAGACAGCCAGACAGACAACAAGCCAACCAGUCAUCCAAUCAUUCGGUGACAUUCCCUCGCACAUCUUCGAGUCCUGACGUGGCGUUGCCUUGAGCGCGGUCACAGGGUGGAAUCUGGCAGGUGGGGACCCGACACCCUCACCCUCACACUCACCCGGGCCCAGGGGGAGGGGCGCUCUACAAUCCGGUCCACGCCCAGUCAAUGCUCCCAUAAGAAGUGGAUCAACCAUCCGCUGUGGGAGCGUGGAUAGAUCGCCACACUCAGACUUGGCCAUGUGAACAGCGGCUUCUAUGACACAACGAGGGAGACGCAUUGCACUAUACUUACUUCACCAUCGUAAACAAGACACCGAUCUCUGUUACGUGCAACAUCGCAACAAGAACAACAAACCAGUUUAGAAAUAGUACCUGAAAUGAAUUACUUUUCUUUUCUAUUUCAGCAUACUAAAAAUACACCAACCUUUACUGCAUGACACAGCGUAACAACAACAACACAUCUUAAAAGACAAACGCUGAGAUGAAUUGUACUGUUCUUUCCAGCAUCCUAUAAAAAUGCACCCGACUUCUAAUACAUGCAGAAGAAAUAGCAAAGUGACUGAGACAAA